CGGGGGAGCGCAGGGUCCUGGGCGUGUCCCCCGCGCCCUGGGCUCCAGGGCCUGCGCUGCUGGAAUUGCGCUCCCGGCCGUGGCUCCCG
rnacentral:pre_miRNA from 1 species